rnacentral:rRNA from 1 species
CCUACGGGUGGCAGCAGUGAGGAAUAUUGCACAAUGGGCGAAAGACUGAUGCAGCAACGCCGCAUGAAGGAAGACGGUUUUAGGAUUGGAAACUUCUGUUCUUUGUGAAGAAUAAUGACGGUAAAUAAGGAGCAUGCAACGUCUAACUACGUGCGAGCAGCCGCGGUACUACGGAGGUGGCAAGCGUUUUCCGGGAGGACUGGGUGUAAAGGGAGCGUAGGCGGGUAGCCAAGUCAGCUGUGAAAGGUACGGGCUUAACCUGUAGACUGCAGUUGAAACUGGCUUUCUUGAUUGAAGUAGAGGUUGGCGGAAUUCCGAGUGUAGCGGUGAAAUGCGUAGAUAUUAGGAGGAACACCGAUGGCGAAGGCGGCCAACUGGGCUUUAACUGACGCUGAGGCUCGAAAGUGUGGGGAGCAAACAGGAUUAGAUACCCGUGUAGUC